UACCAGCACCCCGAGUGGUCGGGACGUUUAUUGGGCCUAAAGCAUCCGUAGCCGGUUCUACAAGUCUUCCGUUAAAUCCACCCUGCUUAACAGAUGGGCUGCGGAAGAUACUAUAGAGCUAGGAGGCGGGAGAGGCAAGCGGUACUCGAUGGGUAGGGGUAAAAUCCGUUGAUCCAUUGAAGACCACCAGUGGCGAAGGCGGCUUGCCAGAACGCGCUCGACGGUGAGGGAUGAAAGCUGGGGGGAGCAAACCGGGAUUAGAAAACCC
rnacentral:rRNA from 1 species